rnacentral:misc_RNA from 1 species
AGCCCUCCCUCUCGUAUCUUUCGCCAAUGCUGUACCUCCUCUGGUGCUGACAGGGUCAUAUAUCUGCGACCUGGGUAAAUCAGCGCGAUUCACUGCUACUGAUGUCAGCAACGAGGUCCUAUAUGGCGUUGCGCCGGAGCGACCUUCGAAAGUGCACACGCUUGUGCCAUCCACACGAUUAGGCAGAGCGUCGGCGUGACUCGAACGGAUCUCACCCGACUCUCGCACUUCCCUACUGGUGUGGGGAGUCUGAGCGCCACCCCAAAGGGGGAUGCACCAGGUGUGUCGACCGGCACAAUGGGGGAGCGGCGGUGAGGCGACCCGAGAAGCGGAUGGGUGCAUAGAACUUGAGGCCGGGGCCAUGCUCCGAUAACGAAGUCGGCACAUUGCUGCAAUGCUUGUCUAGCGCUGCUUCGCAUCAGACAGAUGGGGCCUGUGGCAGAGUCGGGGCUCGAGUGGGGUGACCUCAUGCUCCAUGGCAGGGAACGGACGUACUGUAAGGAAAUACCUCGUCGCGCCACUUUCUUCUGUUGUCACCGUCCUUCUUUUUUUUUUGCGCCCGUCGUUCCCUCUUUCCCUCUGUGUCUUUUGCUUCCGCGUGGCGAUGGCGCAGCGAUGCGAGAACAGGAUCUCGGCGAGUGUCGAAGGCGACAGAGUCGCAGAGAGCGAUAGUGUUAGUGUGUGUGUGUGUGUCUGCGAUCCAAGGGCACACGCUUCGCUUUCGUGCUUCGAAUGUGUCUCUCUCUUUGUUUGUGUAUGCGUGCGUGGAGUAUAGUCCGCCGCCCCUUCUUUUUUUUCUUUAAACUGUUCCUAUGGCUGCGCGUGUCGGCUGCAAUCACAGCUUCGCCUUUUUUAUCUCGCGUUCUCCUUCACCUCGUCGCCAGCGCAGCACUCCCCUCCCCUCCGCUUGUGCAUUACUUCCCCCCUCCACACACACACACACACACAAGCGCUGAAGCGCAUAUCCGACUUUACCUUUUUUAACACACAAACGCGGUUGUACAGUAGCUGAAUUGCUUGCUCAUCCGCAACCCUCCCCGGUGUGUCUGUGUCUCGCGCAUCUGUAUGCAGAUCUUGCGCUGCAGCCCACAGAAAUAUGCACCGCGGCAGCAGCGAACGGAAUCGAGCGAGGAGCAAUAUCCCCCCUCCGGCGCGCUCAAAAAAAAAGUAAAGCAUCCAGCAGCCACGCUGAACUAUGGAUGGACGCGCACUCGAAAAGAAAAGGGAGCUCGCGGACGACGCGUCUCUACUGGGCUCUUUGAUGUGACUGCUGUUGAGUUACUGGCCGUUGCACGUCGGCCUUUUUUUUCUGUGUGUGCUUGUUCAAGUUUCACACGCCCCGCGCGUUAGCCGGUGCCCCUUCGCGGACUUCACUUUGAAAGGCGAACUCCACAUGCUUGUCGGAUGCGGGCGAUCGAGCAUUGGCUUCCUUCCUCUCAUCUUCCCCAUCUUCGCUCCUCGCCAG